UAUUUGGAUAAGCUUACUUAUUGUUAGGAUCCAAUCCUAUUGUUAGGAAGCAAAUUAAGCUUGUUGAUACAAAUCUAAGCUUGAUUUGCUGUGUAUAUAGUUGCAUAUCACAUGCUUUCAAAACUUGAGAAAUAUCAUGUUUCAAUAUCAUGAUCCAAUUUUUCAAUUAUAUCAUUACAAUGGAAAUCAUGAUCAUAUUUGUCCAAGCG
rnacentral:lncRNA from 1 species